AAAGAGUCAAUUCCAAAGGGCUAGUGUGGGGCCCUAGCUUCUCCCACCAGCAGUUAGCCAGUUGAUAUCAAACCCAGACCCCUCCCCAGGUCCUGUCAGUCCAUAGCCUCACCUCAUCCAUCAUCAUUGCACUCCCGCUCAUUACCCCAAAUGUUAUGGUUUGAUUUAGAGCUGGUGAUUAGAGGAUUUUGCCUUUCAGUUAAAUUAAACUUUUCAAAGCAGCCAGUAGGGAGAGAAUGAAAACAGGAUUGACCCAGAUCCUUUGAAAAUCCUGGAGCUUCUCAUUCAUCAGAGUAUCACUAGGCCUGGGAUGUCCCUUUGAACGGGGUACAGUCUGGUCCAAAACUAGCAUUGUCUCCAUAGAGCACCUCUCUCCAUAGCUAGUCAGGAGCAAACCCAGGACCCAUACGCUGGCCUUCUAUCACAACCACCCUGUUCCCUUUAUGGGGUUUGGCAGACUUCAUUUCUAAAACACCUAAGCUCUUCUUUUAUCUCAGGCACAUUGCAGCAGCUCUGUGGGACAGUGCCUUUCCUGUUCUACUUUAGAGACCUUCUAUGAAGGUCCAUGGAAAGCCACAUGAUAAGGCCACCAAAGUAUACCCUGUAUACACACGUUGUCACUUGUAAGGGCCCAAAAGGAGCUAUCGGAGCAAAGGUUAAAUCUCCAAGACCAUUUUCUCCAAGCCAGGGGCCAGCUUUUCUCUCCAAGGACCAGUUCCUCUCCAGUUUGGCAAACCUCUCCCAUGCCAGGCAGUUCCUGAACUCAAAUCAUAGGUCAUGGCAUUUGUAUAGGAGGUUCUGGCCUCAGAUCAAAAUGUCUAGGUCUGUGCUCCUGUGGGAAGAUGGGGAAUAGUGACCUCAGGCUCCUCACUUGUGCCUGGGUAAUGCUUUCAAUCCUGCCUCUUGCCUGGACCAGCCAAUAGAAGGAGGUGGUAUAUGUACCUGUCAUGGGAGAAUUAUGGGGCUUUUAUGGGCUAACUCAUGUCAGAGAAAUACAGAGGGAGGAAGUGGCUUUGUUCCUAGAAUCAGUGAAGUGGAAAUAAAUACCCUUUUGGAAAACAGUCUCCCCUGAGUAGUCUCUUUCAACUUGCUACCCAGAUUCACCAAGUCAAAGAGUAGCUCUGCACCAGAGUUAAAGUUGCACUAUGUAGUAAUGAGAGAUUGGGUGAAUUAGUCCAGAACUAUAUGCUUGGGAUUGGGGUUAUUAUUACUGUUUUUAUUAUUAUUAUUAGUAGUAGUAGUAUUUGGUGCCA
rnacentral:lncRNA from 1 species